CACGAAGUUGGAAUUGCUAGUAAUCGUGGAUCAGCAUGCCACGGUGAAUACGUUCCCGGGUCUUGUACACACCGCCCGUCACACCAUGGGAGCCGGUAAUACCCGAAGUCAGUAGUCUAACCGCAAGGAGGACGCUGCCGAAGGUAGGAUUGGCGACUGGGGUGAAGUCGUAACAAGGUAUC
rnacentral:rRNA from 1 species